AAACAAGAAAAGAGAUGAGUAUAGCCUUCUGGUUAAGAGUUCAGUUCCCAAAAUAAUAUUCACAUUACGUCUAAAGUAAUUAAUACAAUACUGAGGUUGAAAAACUGAAAAUUUUCCAUUAUAAGAAUAACAGUUGAUUACUGAAACUUAACUGGGAUGUACUUCUGUGUGUGAAAAGGAAAACCUCUUCUGACUGUAUUUUGGAGAUUUGUCAGGGAAUGGGACUUUGAUCUGAAGAAAUUACCAAACAUUAAAAUGAGAAAAAUUUGCGCUAAUGAUGCAAUUCCCAAGACGUGCAAGAGGAAAACUAUUAUAACUGUAGACCAAGAUUUGGGGGAAUUGGAA
rnacentral:lncRNA from 1 species